UUUCGUUAACUUUUCAAAAAACGUUGAUGCUAGGUUAGGUUAGGGAAGGAGAGAAGUUAACUGCGCAAUUUCCUCAAAGUUGAAAUUCCGCAUUUUCCGUAAUAAAAGGAUUUCAGUGCAGUUUACGGUUCGUUGUCGGGCAGGGAAGUUAUGCAGAACAAUUUUUGAUUUAGAUUCAAUUCAAUUUCCACAGAAGAUGGCUAACAACAAAAUCGGUAGCAACAGCAGCAGCAAAAGUGAAGGAAAAUCAGAUGGAAAUGGUGAAGUCGCAGAGCCAAAAAAGACGUUAUAGCCUCCCGUCAAUUUAUUUGACUGGGCGCAAUCGUCUGUGCUAAGCUGGAUGGCUGGCCUUGGUGGCCCGGGAUCGUUGUUACUCUCUAAUGACUGUGGGCUGCCACCUCCGAGAAAACCAACUAGUUACUGGAUAUAUUUUGGUUCGGCGGCCAUCAAACCGUGUCCGAGAUUUAUUAAUUACAAAACGUUUUCCGACUUUAGUUCAAAAUUUUGAUUAACAUGCAUUCUUGGGAGUUAAAGCGGAUGCCGGCGGAAAAACUAAGCGGUUUUCUAGAUGACCGUUUGGCCAGCCUGUUAAAUCAAGCUUACAACAGCACCUCUAUGAAAGAGGAGUCUUGGAAGCCCUGCUGGCACUCUCCUUUAUUAGAGAUCAGAACAAAUUAGUUAAAGGCACGGCUGACAAAUUGAAGAAUUGGGCCAUCAAACUCUUGGCGUCGUCAAAGAGCAACAACAGUCGAGAUGUGGUCUUGGACGAGUUCCCGGAAUGGCUGCAACGUCCCAUGGAUCGGAUCAAAGACAUCAAUACCAAGUUGAAGAGGAUCGCCAGUGAGAUUUUCGUUUCUUUAUUAGAUUUCUUCAGAUGAAACCGAUCAGCACAUUUGACAUGAAGGAUGCUCAAGGCUCCGCCAAACAUCGUCUGGUGUUCGUGGACUAACAUUCCAUAACUGAAUUUCAAUCCGCAAUUGGACGAGCAAGUCAUCAACAACGACCAUUCAGUUCGUCCAUUUCUUGUCUUCCGCUCAGCCGAGAGCCAUUUUUCAUCAAAUAUCCUUGGAUUCUUGAACAUAUCGUGGCCAUAAACCAACCUCUGCCAGGCAACUGGCAGGAGAAACACGACCGGAUGCUGUUUCAGCGCGAUACUCGAAGCAAGACGAAAACAGUUAAAGCUCCAGUCCAUUUGGAGCAUUACUCGAUCGUCCAGCUGACCUAGAAAACGGCCAAGAAGAAGAAGAAAUUGAGCAGCGAUCUCCGCUCGAGUUGGAAACUUUGCGAAGCCGUCGGCAGUGCUGACAAGGACAGCGACGGAAUUAGUGACGAAACGUGCGACUUUUCGCUACUCUGACGGAUCAAGCCACUUACGCCCGCCCCGAGCCGUUUCCGGAGUAUGUGUCGCAUUUCAAAAAAGCUGAAGUGCAAGAACGAUUACAUAAUCGCAGUUUAUCAGCGUCGUUGUCCGUUGUCGAUUCACAUUUUUCAACCGAUGUUGAAGUUGGUCCGUGUCGUUGGCCCGAAAUAAGCCGUGGAUUUUUAUUUACUCUUCCAUUCAGUACGUUUCUCACCUUGUUUUCUUUUUUUAUGUAAUCAGGAAUGUAAACUAUAUUUAUCGUGACUGUUCCUGAACAAAGAAUACAAUUUGUUGGUGGAAAAA